AGAUGUGAGGGAGAUCUGGCUGUGACAUCUGUCACCCCAUAAAUGGCCAGGGUUGAUUCGGCUGAUCUGGCUGGCUAAGCGGGUGUCCCCUUUCACUCUCACCGCUCCGUGUAUGUCCUUCCCAGAACAGUGUAAUUGGUGGAAGAGUACAGCCUUCCCCGAAAAGAGAUGGACUGGUCUUUGGUCUAGGGUAUACAAGUAGUUGAGUAGCUGUGCUCCCCUGCUAGAACCUUCAAACAAGCUCUCAAGAGAUACACAUUUGCUAUGCAGCAUUUUAAUAAAUGGGCUAGUAGUUAAACAUAUUCAUAAAGAGGACCAAAAUCAUGGUGAAGCAAUGUUGCAGGUGUCUCUCUGU
ensembl:misc_RNA 7SK 7SK RNA